GACGAACGCUGGCGGCGUGCCUAAUACAUGCAAGUAGAACGCUGAAGGAGGAGCUUGCUUCUCCGGAUGAGUUGCGAACGGGUGAGUAACGCGUAGGUAACCUGCCUGGUAGCGGGGGAUAACUAUUGGAAACGAUAGCUAAUACCGCAUAACAGUAGAUAUCGCAUGAUAUCUGCUUGAAAGGUGCAAUUGCAUCCCUACCAGAUGGACCUGCGUUGUAUUAGCUAGUUGGUGAGGUAACGGCUCACCAAGGCGACGAUACAUAGCCGACCUGAGAGGGUGAUCGGCCACACUGGGACUGAGACACGGCCCAGACUCCUACGGGAGGCAGCAGUAGGGAAUCUUCGGCAAUGGACGGAAGUCUGACCGAGCAACGCCGCGUGAGUGAAGAAGGGUUUCGGAUCGGAAAGCUCUGUUGUAAGAGAAGAACGAGUGUGAGAGUGGAAAGUUCACACUGUGACGGUAUCUUACCAGAAAGAGACGGCUAACUACGUG
rnacentral:rRNA from 1 species